UGCCCAGUGGUCCAGUGGUUUAAGACUCUGCACUUUCAAUGCAGGGGAUGUGGGUUUGAUCCCUGGUCAA
rnacentral:tRNA from 1 species